rfam:Thiorhodospira sibirica ATCC 700588 ctg247, whole genome shotgun sequence.
GUCAACUACCCCGCCCUGAAGGGCGGAGCUUGCCUGCCUGCCGCGACGCACCUGCCUGCGCCGCGUGCGUCGCGGCAGGCAGGCGCGGCAGGCAGGUGAAAGCAAGCUCGGUUGACCAGGGCAAGCGGUGCAAACCCGCUCCGUGCAUCACAGGUCGUUAAGACCCACUCCGGGAUGCUUCCUCAGUCCCGGACACUGGAAGGCUGAGAUCAUGCUGGCGCAAGGCAAAACGCCGAAGGUUUCAGCCGCCGCGCAAGCGGGAGCCGGUGAUGCACAUGCCCGAGGGGAGCGAGCC